AAUAAAACAGUGUUUGGAAACUAUUAUGCCAAGAUGUAAUAACUAGAAAACAAGAAAGUCCAUUUAUAAGCUGAAGUGCAACUUCAAGUCGUAAAUAGAAGAAAUAUUGAGAAUGCAAGGGGGAAAAUUAUAACAUGAGCACUUAUGAAACGGGAAACAGACUGAAAACCUUCAGAUUUAGAAUAGCGACAGGACGAUAUAUUUUGGACCCAUCCUUCUGAAGCUCUGUACUAAGCCUUUGCAUUAUCUACUUAUCAGUCAGGGACCUCUCAAGAAAGAUAAACCACUUGAGUAUUAAAACAGAGGGGUCUGGUGCAGGAAACUGAUCACCCAGGAAAAGGAAGAGCUGAAAUGCUUAGCAGCAAACAGGGAGAGAACCUAGAGGUAAACACUCCCAGAAAACCACAACCUCCUCUGGGCCAGAGUGAGGAGGCAGAGACUAAGGUCCUUAGAUGGGGGCUAGAAGAGACUCAACUAUUGCAUCAGAUGUUGCCAGAAACAGAGAGGGAGUGGGAGAAAAACCCUGGCUUCUCUCUCCAGCCUCCUCCCCCAUCUGCCUCUCAUGUCUACCUGGGCCAUUCCCAUCCUGGAAAAUAGUCUGCAGUGUUCUUUCCUUGUGCAAGGGGAUGGGUGAGGAAUGGAUCCAAAGGCAAACAGGCCCGGGACCAGCACAAAUAUUGUCUGCGUGAGCAGAGGCAUGACUCUACAUUCUGGUGAGGACAUCCCCCUGGGAGAGCUUGCAUCAUACCAGGAUGACCACAGGACGCCCUCCUGAUGCACAGUGCCUUUGCUCAAAGACCAACCUUAGUUUGUGAAAGAGAAUUAAGCUUUUCCAACCUUGAAAGCCUUCAGAUUACUGGAUCCCCAGAUGCUAUGGAUGGCCAGCUCCAUAAAAAGAUGUCUUUAUGCUAUAGUCCUGGUAGAAAUGUGGUCAGCAUUCCAAAGUAUGAUAUAAAAGAUUUUAAGCAGCUCUUUUGUUGCAACAUACAAAGGUCACCAACUCCCCUGCUUGGAGUAGAGAAAAUCAUUCUCAUUACCUUGCAGCCUACCUUACUAGUUCAGAUAAGUACACAUUUUAGGAUCUAUUAUUUGUAACAUCCUAUUUUCUAAUAGCAAAUUCCCUAUGAUUAUGCUACUUUUGAUUGCAAGUAAUAUAAAAGAUCUGACUUAAUCAAUAAAAUGUAUUAGCCCGUGUAAAAACUCCAGAGGAGAGCAGGUUUCAAGGCUCAGAGAUCCACUGUUUGUUUACAUAGAUUAUGUCCUGCACAGAAGUGCCUGGGCAAGAGGUCAAGUGGGAGCUGAAUCUAAGCUUGGGGCUGCAUCCAACCCAGAAAACAGGGUACCAUUUUAAUUACAUCAAGGAGCCUCUAAUUAAUCACAAAGCCAUUCUCCCGCAAGAUCAUUUGCUCAGUUAAUGCAUCCAAAAGUGACUUAUGUUAACAGUGGGAGCCUUUAGCUCAGCAAUGUCAGCCAAGAAUCAGUUUAUUUUCACCUAUCUGUUCUGCUUUUCCUUAUGUCAGCUACAUCCACAGAGAACUGCCUCCAUAAAUUGGCUCCACUCAUGUUCGCCAGAGGGAUGGCAGCAUCAACCAAGUCUUCCUUUUUCCUGUCCAGUAGGAGACUGGGCUCCCCAGUCAAUGAAUGGGCUAACCGGCUAACCUCACAUUAUAACAACCUGAGUCACAUGCCCAACGCUAAACCAAUCAGUGGCACAGGUCUAGAAAUAUGCUGAUUAACUAAAGUCGAAUUUACAUCUGCCAUCUUGCUACUUGUUUUCUUUCAUUGUCUUUCUUUGUUUCUCUGUUCUUCAGUGCUCCCUUCUUUUGUGUAAAAUAAAUAUUUUCUAGCCAUUUUAAUUUCCUUGUUGCUUCUUUUAGUAUAUUUUUCUACUUAUUUUCCUCUUGAUUGCCUUAGGGUUUGCAAUUAACAUUUAAUUUAAAAUGAUCUCGCUCAGAUUAAUACCAAUUUAAUUUCGAUAAUAUCUUAAAAGCUUGUUCUAAUAUAGUUCUGUGACCUUCCUCUUUGUGCCAUUAUUAUUAUAUGAAUUACAUUUUUAUACAUGAUAAACCCAUCAACACAGUUCUACUAUUGCAUUAUGUGUUUUUCUUUCUUUUUUUUUCUUUAGUUUUGAGCUAAGCAUAGAUUCCCAUGCAGUUGUAAGAAACAAUAAUAGAGGUCUCAUGUACUGGUUACCCAGCUUUUCCCAGCUUUUCUCAUGUACCUGUUACCCAGCUUUUCCUAGCUGUUCCCAGCUUUUCUCAUGUACCUGUUACCCAGCUUUCUCCCGCUACCCACCUUCAUAACUGUGGUAUAAUAUCACAAUCAGGAUACUGACAUUGACAGUGUCAAGAUACAGAAUACUCCAUCUCCAUGAAGAUCCUUCUUAUUGUCCAUGUAUAGUCACAUGCACUUCCCUCCAAUUUCUAUCUUCCCCUUAACUUCUGGCAACCAUUA
rnacentral:lncRNA from 1 species